UCGCCGACGGCGAGGGUCUCCGCGCCGCGCUGCUCGAAGCGGCGCAGGUUCACGAGCCCCGUGCUGAUGAUCUUCUCCGCGUCGAUGCU
rnacentral:tRNA from 1 species